rnacentral:rRNA from 1 species
CACGUAGGGCGCAAGCGUUGUCCGGAAUUAUUGGGCGUAAAGAGCUCGUAGGUGGUUUGUUACGUCUGCUGUGAAAUCCUAGGGCUUAACCCUGGGCUUGCAGUGGAUACGGGCAGACUAGAGGUAGGUAGGGGAGAAUGGAAUUCCUGGUGUAGCGGUGAAAUGCGCAGAUAUCAGGAGGAACACCGGUGGCGAAGGCGGUUCUCUGGGCCUUACCUGACACUGAGGAGCGAAAGCGUGGGGAUCAAACAGG